rnacentral:rRNA from 1 species
UACGUAGGGGGCAAGCGUUAUCCGGAUUUACUGGGUGUAAAGGGAGCGUAGACGGCAUGGCAAGUCAGAUGUGAAAGCCCGGGGCUCAACCCCGGGACUGCAUUUGAAACUGUCAGGCUGGAGUGCAGGAGAGGUAAGCGGAAUCCCUAGUGUAGCGGUGAAAUGCGUAGAUAUUAGGAGGAACACCAGUGGCGAAGGCGGCUUACUGGACUGUAACUGACGUUGAGGCUCGAAAGCGUGGGGAGCAAACAGG